UUCGCCCGCCCUGCCCCUCGCCUGCUUCAGAAGCUUCCAGGAACUCCCGGGUCGGCGACCCAGCCCGAGCCGCCUGGGGCCCCAAGGGAAGCUGAACGCCCUGUGGGCUCCUGGGAUGGUUCUUCCCGUUCUUUGCGCCGCCUUCACCCAUUGAAGAGCCUGUGCCCACCCUGCCCAGUCGCUCUCGGGGCCGCGGAGGAGCUUCCGCUGCCAUCUUCGGAUCCUGUGUUCCGCACGGGGGCUCCACCAGGGCAGGGAUGGUGAAUGGGGAAAUGGAGAGAGAACCUGAAAGAGCCCCAAACUCGAGGACCUAUUGCUCCCCAAGAAUAACAUCUUCCAGAAGAACUAGACAGAAAACUAGGCGUCUGGGAACUCUGAAAUCCUUGGAGGAGUAGCAUCAUCAUGACCCUCUGUGUUCCUUUUGGCAAAGGACUUGCUCCCAUUGUUUGCUUGUUCCAUUGUCUGUCUGUUAAAUAAAUAAAACCCUUUUCAUAUAUCUUUAAACUUA
rnacentral:lncRNA from 1 species